CCGAUACGAAGUAGUCUCGUUCCGUGGGCAAAGGCUAAGGUGUUCAGUGCUGCCGGUGCAGGUGUGGAGGAAAGAAAGGAGCCACCUGGAGCAGAGUUUUGAAGAUCAGAUGAUGUGGUGAAGCAGGCCAGUGCGGGGAACCUCUGGUCUGCCAUCUUGAAUCUCUGCUUCGUGUGACACUGCUGGAUUGGCGAGCAAGAGAGGAAGGACCGGGCUCGAACAGGGCUUCCUGCAUCCAGACCUGGAGCCUUUCUGGGG
rnacentral:lncRNA from 1 species